AAGUAUAGACAUAAUCCAGGUGCGCUUAGGAUUGAAAUCCAAGCCAAGAGGGAACCCUGUGAGAAUCAGGGGUGGUCCCGCCGCUGUAAAUGGGGACGAAGACUGUUAUUUACCACUGGGAUAUACAUAAAUCCCGGGAAGGUGCAGUCAAUAGGAUGAUCCAUAAACCAGAAGACCUGCCUGGUAAACAUUGGUAAA
rnacentral:ncRNA from 2 species